rnacentral:ncRNA from 2 species
GGUCAUGAGCAUCAGCGUCAAGCCCCGGCUGGCUGAUCGGCAACCCUCCAACCGCGGUGGGGUGCUCCGGGUGAUGACCGGGUUGUGGGAUCGCAGCGACGAUCCCCGGCAAGCGCGGGUC